GACGAACGCUGGCGGCGUGCUUAACACAUGCAAGUCGAACGGAAAGGCCCUGCUUUUGUGGGGUGCUCGAGUGGCGAACGGGUGAGUAACACGUGAGUAACCUGCCCUUGACUUUGGGAUAACUUCAGGAAACUGGGGCUAAUACCGGAUAGGAGCUCCUGCUGCAUGGUGGGGGUUGGAAAGUUUCGGCGGUUGGGGAUGGACUCGCGGCUUAUCAGCUUGUUGGUGGGGUAGUGGCUUACCAAGGCUUUGACGGGUAGCCGGCCUGAGAGGGUGACCGGCAACAUUGGGACUGAGAGACGGCCCAGACUCCUACGGGAGGCAGCAGUGGGGAAUAUUGCACAAUGGGGGGAAGCCUGAUGCAGCAACGCCGCGUGCGGGAUGACGGCCUUCGGGUUGUAAACCGCUUACGCCUGUGACGAAGCGUGAGUGACGGUAAUGGGUAAAGAAGCACCGGCUAACUACGUG
rnacentral:rRNA from 1 species